GCACAGUAAACGAUGAAUACUUGUUCUCGGCGAUACACAGUCGGGGGCAAAGCGAAAGCGAUAAGUAUUCCACCUGGGGAGUACGCCGGCAACGGUGAAACUCAAAGGAAUUGACGGGGGCCCGCACAAGCGGAGGAACAUGUGGUUUAAUUCGAUGCUACGCGAGGAACCUUACCCGGGCUUGAAAGUUAGCGACGGAGAUGGAAACAUCUCUUCCCUUCGGGGCGCGAAACUAGGUGCUGCAUGGUUGUCGUCAGCUCGUGCCGUGAGGUGUCGGCUUAAGUGCCAUAACGAGCGCAACCCUUUUCAAUAGUUGCCAUCAUUAGGUUGGGGACUCUAUUGACACUGCCAUCGUAAGAUGUGAGGAAGGAUGGGAUGACGUCAAAUCAGCACGGCCCUUACGUCCGGGGCGACACACGUGUUACAAUGGUGGGGACAGAGAGCUGCGACCUGGUGACAGGGAGCGAAUCUACAAACCCCAUCCCAGUUCGGAUCGGAGUCUGCAACCCGACUCCGUGAAGCUGGAUUCGCUAGUAAUCGCGCAUCAGCCAUGGCGCGGUGAAUACGUUCCCGGGCCUUGUACACACCGCCCGUCAAGCCAUGAAAGCCGAGGGUACCUGAAGUCUGGGGUAAGAUCCGGCCUAGGGUAAAAUUGGUAAUUGGGGCU
rnacentral:rRNA from 1 species